CUGAGUGUGAGCAUCAGCAGAAAAACUCAGCCUAAACCCCUUUGUUCUUCUCUUGCAGAGCUUUUGCCUGCAAGGCUGUUCUGACCACAGUGGGCGUUUUGGGCCCUUUUACAGGCUCCAUGUUCUGUAGCUGUAGGGGCACCAUGUCUUCCUCUGCUAAGCUGCUGUUUGCUGCUGCCUUUCAGAAAUUGAGGCCAAGUAUGAUAAGAAGAUGAAGAUGCUGAGGGACGAGCUCGACUUGCGGAGAAAGACUGAGCUCCACGAAGUAGAGGAGAGGAAGAAUGGCCAGAUCCACACGCUGAUGCAGCGCCACGAGGAGGCCUUCACCGACAUUAAGAACUACUACAACGACAUCACCCUCAACAACCUGGCCCUCAUCAACUCCCUCAAGGAGCAGAUGGAGGACAUGCGGAAGAAGGAGGACCACCUGGAGAGGGAGAUGGCAGAGGUGUCUGUGCAGAACAAGCGCCUGGCAGAACCUCUCCAGAAGGCUCGGGAGGAGAUGAACGAGAUGCAGAAACAGCUCGCAAACUACGAGAGGGACAAGCAGACCCUGCUUUGCACAAAAGCCCGUUUGAAAGUCACGGAGAAAGAGCUGAAAGACCUGCAGUGGGAGCAUGAAGUGUUAGAGCAGCGGUUCACCAAGGUGCAGCAGGAGCGGGACGAGCUCUAUGGGAAGUUCACCGCAGCCAUCCAGGAGGUGCAGCAGAAGACAGGGUUCAAGAACCUCGUGCUAGAACGCAAGCUGCAGGCUCUGAGCGCCGCUGUGGAGAAGAAGGAGGUGCAGUUCAACGAGGUCCUGGCUGCCUCUAACCUGGACCCUGCAGCCCUGACGCUGGUGUCCCGCAAGCUGGAG
rnacentral:sRNA from 1 species